UACGUAGGUGGCAAGCGUUGUCCGGAUUUACUGGGCGUAAAGAGCGCGCAGGCGGUCGUUCAAGUCGCGUGUGAAAGCCCCCGGCUCAACUGGGGAGGGUCACGCGAUACUGAUCGACUCGAAGGCAGGAGAGGGAAGUGGAAUUCCCGGUGUAGUGGUGAAAUGCGUAGAUAUCGGGAGGAACACCGGUGGCGAAGGCGGCCCACUGGUCCGGUACUGACGCUGAGGUGCGAAAGCGUGGGGAGCAAACAGG
rnacentral:rRNA from 1 species